rnacentral:rRNA from 1 species
GUGCCAGCCGCUGCGGUAAUACGGAGGGUGCAAGCAUUAAUCGGAUUUAUUGGGCGUAAAGGGCGCGUAGGCGGGGAUGAAAGUCAGAUGUGAAAUCCCGGGGCUCAACCUCGGAACUGCAUUUGAAACUUUAUUUCUAGAGGGUAGGCGGAGAAAACGGAAUUCCACAAGUAGCGGUGAAAUGCGUAGAUAUGUGGAAGAACACCGGUGGCGAAAGCGGUUUUCUAGCUUAUUCCUGACGCUGAUGCGCGAAAGCAAGGGAUCAAACAGGAUUAGAUACCCUGGUA